rnacentral:rRNA from 1 species
GACGAACGCUGGCGGCGUGCUUAACACAUGCAAGUCGAACGGAAAGGCCCUGCUUUUGUGGGGUGCUCGAGUGGCGAACGGGUGAGUAACACGUGAGUAACCUGCCCUUGACUUUGGGAUAACUUCAGGAAACUGGGGCUAAUACCGGAUAGGAGCUCCUGCUGCAUGGUGGGGGUUGGAAAGUUUCGGCGGUUGGGGAUGGACUCGCGGCUUAUCAGCUUGUUGGUGGGGUAGUGGCUUACCAAGGCUUUGACGGGUAGCCGGCCUGAGAGGGUGACCGGCCACAUGGGGACUGAGAUACGGCGCAGACUCCUACGGGAGGCAGCAGUGGGGAAUAUUGCACAAUGGGCGGAAGCCUGAUGCAGCAACGCCGCGUGCGGGAUGACGGCCUUCGGGUGGUAAACCGCUUUCGCCUGUGACGAAGCGUGAGUGACGGUAAUGGGUAAAGAAGCACCGGCUAACUACGUG